rnacentral:rRNA from 1 species
GAUGAACGCUGGCGGCGUGCCUAAUACAUGCAAGUCGAGCGAAUGGAUUAAGAGCUUGCUCUUAUGAAGUUAGCGGCGGACGGGUGAGCAACACGUGGGUAACCUGCCCAUAAGACUGGGAUAACUCCGGGAAACCGGGGCUAAUACCGGAUAACAUUUUGAACCGCAUGGUUCGACAUUGAAAGGCGGCUUCGGCUGUCACUUAUGGAUGGACCCGCGUCGCAUUAGCUAGUUGGUGAGGUAACGGCUCACCAAGGCAACGAUGCGUAGCCGACCUGAGAGGGUGAUCGGCUACACUGGGACUGAGACACGGCCCAGACUCCUACGGGAGGCAGCAGUAGGGAAUCUUCCGCAAUGGACGAAAGUCUGACGGAGCAACGCCGCGUGAGUGAUGAAGGCUUUCGGGUCGUAAAACUCUGUUGUUAGGGAAGAACAAGUGCUAGUUGAAUAAGCUGGCACCUUGACGGUACCUAACCAGAAAGCCACGGCUAACUACGUGCCAGCCGCCGCAGUAA